CCCAGCUGUCAGCUGAAAGCCAUGCUAAGCAAUAUCAAAGAGGAUUCUUACAGCCUGGUUCCUAAGAAUUUAUUCUGAAAAAGAGAGCAAGUGUGACAUACCACUGCGUGAUACAAGAACCACAUCAUUGGAACAGGAUCCUAUGAAAGGGCCCAGAAAUGAAUGUUUAUCUGAAACAAGUACAUCAAAUUUUAAUCAGGUUAUACAUGGAAACCCUGACGCUGGUGAAAAAAAAAUUUUUUU